GAUGAACGCUGGCGGCGUGCUUAACACAUGCAAGUCGAGCGAAGCGAUUUAAAUGAGACUUCGGUGGAUUUUAAAUUGACUGAGCGGCGGACGGGUGAGUAACGCGUGGAUAACCUGCCUCACACAGGGGGAUAACAGUUAGAAAUGACUGCUAAUACCGCAUAAGCGCACGGUACCGCAUGGUACAGUGUGAAAAACUCCGGUGGUGUGAGAUGGAUCCGCGUCUGAUUAGGUAGUUGGUGAGGUAACGGCCCACCAAGCCGACGAUCAGUAGCCGACCUGAGAGGGUGACCGGCCACAUUGGGACUGAGACACGGCCCAAACUCCUACGGGAGGCAGCAGUGGGGAAUAUUGCACAAUGGGCGAAAGCCUGAUGCAGCAACGCCGCGUGAGUGAAGAAGUAUCUCGGUAUGUAAAGCUCUAUCAGCAGGGAAGAAAAUGACGGUACCUGACUAAGAAGCC
rnacentral:rRNA from 1 species